UGUGUGUGUGUGUGUGUGUGUGUGUGUAUGUAUGUAUAUAUAUAUAUAUACACACACACAUACAUACAUACACACACACACACACACACACACACU